AUGCCUGCUGCCUUCUCUGCUGCCAGCACCCAGCAGUGGCCAGGCUGGAGCCAGGUUGCCCAGCUCAGCACAGCUGUAAAGGUCCGGCCCCAUGCCACCCCUUGCACUGCUGUGGGGCAAGGGCUGUCCAAGACUGGGGCAGCUGCUGUGUCCUCAUGUCACCCCCGUCCUGCUGGCCUGGCCCCAGCACGAAGCCCCCUGCCUCAUCCCUCCUCUUCCUCCCUGCCAUGGGAUAGCGCCAGAGGACAGGGGCUUCGCUCCUUGCAUCCCGCUGCGGGCCAGGGUCCAGCUGUCCCCCAGCAAUUAGCUGGAGCCACUUUAUCCCCUUGGCCUGGCAGCCACCAGCCCGCUCGCCCACGCCCGCUGCUCCCGGGCUGGCACGGCAGCGGGCCAAGGGGUUAUUUGAACCUUCCUGAAAUAGAAAUGGAGCUGGGAGCGGGCGGAGGGCGGGUGAGAGGGGGUGGCCCUGCAGGCGAUGAAGGAGGUUCCCUCCAUGAGGGCCCGGGACGGCUGAAGAGCAGCAGGACAGCGGGCAGGAGCGGGCAGGGCUGGGGCAGCGUCGAGGGCAAAGGGUCCCCAGCUCUGGCUCUGGCUGCCGCUCAGCCCGUGGCUGGAUCCAGCCCUCCUCCAGCAUUCCCGGGGGAGGGGGGGGGGGGAAUUGCUGUACCCCCCACCCGCUCCUGCUGCAGGACGGGCUGGGGGCAGCACCGGGGUGGGCAGGGCCGCAUUCUGGCAGGCGCUGAGCACCGCUCCUGGAGGAGGGGGGGGGUGUCCGCGGAGCGGGGGGUGGGAGUUUUUCUGCCCCCAGCCACCUCUCUCCAUCACCCCCUCCCUCGCGUCCCCAGCGCCAGCGCCGUCCCCGGGGCCACGGCCAUCCCCUCCAGCCCGGUGCUGCGGUGUCGCGGGGUGGCGCAGCGGCUGCGGGCACCGCUCGGCGGUGGCAGUGGUGGCGGCGGUGUCGUGUCCCGUCCCCCGUCGUCGUCGUCGUCCCCCCCCCCGCGGCGGUGGCGGGGGCACGGCUGGCAUUGCUCGCUGACACCCUAUCUGCCAGGCCCCCGCCAGUCGCGGGCCCAGAAUAGCAGCGCUGCCCCGCAGUCAGCAUGGAGCGACUCCCCGGCCCCGCUGCGCCCCAGGUACCGCCGGGGCGGGUGGGGGACCCGGCUCGAGAGACCCCCCACUCGGGGACAGGCCGCCUCCGGGGUGGGGGGGGAUGUGGGGGGCUGGCGGUGCCCUUCCCGCGGCCAGGCAGCCGGAGGGACGAGGACACGGAGCGCAGCCUGGCCCCCCUGCCUGCCCCGGCUGUGCCAAGCCCCUUGGGAAAGGUUGGGGGACGUUGGUGUAGGGUCACUUCCUUCCCGGGUUUGGCUCUGGGCUCUCUAG
ensembl:lncRNA